UCGCCAGACUCCUACGGGAGGCAGCAGUGGGGAAUAUUGCACAAUGGGGGGAACCCUGAUGCAGCAAUGCCGCGUGAAGGAUGAAGGUUUUCGGAUUGUAAACUUCUUUUGUACGGGACGAAGAAAGUGACGGUACCGUAAGAAUAAGCCGCGGCUAACUACGUGCCAGCAGCCGCGGUAAUACGUAGGUGGCAAGCGUUAUCCGGAUUUACUGGGUGUAAAGGGCGUGUAGGCGGGGACGCAAGUCAGAUGUGAAAACCACGGGCUCAACCUGUGGCCUGCAUUUGAAACUGUGUUUCUUGAGUACUGGAGAGGCAGACGGAAUUCCUAGUGUAGCGGUGAAAUGCGUAGAUAUUAGGAGGAACACCAGUGGCGAAGGCGGUCUGCUGGACAGCAACUGACGCUGAGGCGCGAAAGCGUGGGGAGCAAACAGGAUUAGAUACCCGAGUAA
rnacentral:rRNA from 1 species